UACGGGGGGAGCAAGCGUUGUUCGGAUUUACUGGGCGUAAAGGGCGCGUAGGCGGUCAGUGCAAGUCAGUUGUGAAAUCUCCGGGCUUAACUCGGAAAGGUCAACUGAUACUGCUCGACUAGAGUGCGGAAGGGGCAACUGGAAUUCUUGGUGUAGCGGUGAAAUGCGUAGAUAUCAAGAGGAACACCUGCGGCGAAAGGCGGGUUGCUGGGCCGACACUGACGCUGAAGCGCGAAAGCUAGGGGAGCGAACGGG
rnacentral:rRNA from 1 species